UUAGCCGAAAAAAGGAGGAGGUUAUCAAUUCUUCGGAAUAUUUUGUUAUGGAUGUUAUCGCAAAAUUGGGACCACGUUAACUGAUUUAUGUAAUUCUUUUUUUUUUAGUAAAUGUGGUAACCAA